rnacentral:misc_RNA from 1 species
ACAGGGUUUAGGUCAGUGUGAAUCUGCAGGUAUACUGUUUAACAGUACAGCUGUCCUGAAACCCGGAGCAAAACAGAGAAUACUAAACCUUCUAACUUAUUUGUUCUUGUGUCCUAAAUAUGACUCAAAAGUGACUCAAUGUAUUUAAAAGAAAAGUAACUCUAAGAAGUGACUCUUUUUUAGAGAAAUGCGUAGAGUGGUGAAUAUUUUUAGAUCCUUGCAAAAAUAUUCAAGUUCUAGAUGAUAACAACUAACUUCUAGAAAACCCAACUGUAAAAUCUAGACUUUUGAAGAAGAAAAACAGUGAGCUAGAAACAAUGCAUACCCCGAGAAUUGAUCAUGAUGAAACAUUUUUUAAUCUCAAAACUCUAACAAUUCGACGGACCCCGGAGCAUAAUCCUGGAUACUUGAUGAAUCCUGAAACCUUGUCAUAUCUAGGAGAUAUUGGAGACAAUACAAGUCCUAAUCAUGGUAUUCUCAGUCGGGCAUCGUCUAUGACGAUGUUAGGAUCUACAUUAAACCUAGUCCGGAGAAAUAUACGAUCCAUUCUUGGUUUACUCAUGUUCUCCCUGAACUUGGUCCUACUUGGAGUUCUUUUCUCGACAUCGCAGGAGGAUAUUUCAAGAAACUCAAGAAUAAUACACAACCUGGAGAUUAGACUAGACAAUAUUACUGGUUCCUGGGAUCGGGAAGAAAGUUUGAGGACUGUUUUAGUAGAUGUAUCCUACCAACAAACCCAACUCAAUAAUCUCAGGACCAGUUUGUCUGAGAAGGAAGUUGAGCUGGAUGAGCUGAGGAACAUGUUAAAGGAGGAGAAGAUGAUGCAAAACAAGACCCUUGACUCUCUCAUCAGAGAGUCCGAUAUUCUACUCUGUAAAGGUUCAAAGAAUGAACUCCGUGCUGUGGUGAGAGGUGUGUACCGAGUACAAUUCCAGGCUAAAGUACACGGUGAUACAUACACCAACAGAAAAAUGUUUGAAAUCCGAAAAAAUUCCAAAUUGUUGGAGGUUGGGGGUACACUCAGGUUCCAAGCAAACAAUAAUGAAACAGUGGUUUGCAAUAAGGAUAACACAAGAGAGUUGAAACAGUGUUACAAUAUGGAGGAAAUUAUUCUAGUUGAGCUUGAUGCAGGGGAUAGUCUACAGGUAGAAUCUGUAUUUACAAUGAAUGGAGGGGGUGCAGUGUAUGAUGAACAACUCUGUAUGUAUAUAACAGAUUAUGAGAAGGUACCAGGAGGAACUGAAUCUCUAGUUAUAACUCAUUAGGGCAGAAACAAAGAUGUCUUCUACCUCGAAUCUGAUUGCAAUGUUCUGUGAUAAAUAUGUGAAUAUCGUCUUCCAAAAGGGAUUAGUACUUUAUUCAUCAAUUUUCUUAAAGGGGCUGGAAUCUUCCUUUAAAUAUGAUAAUUUGGGUUUUACCAAAAUAUAUGUUUAAACUUUUAAACUGAGUAUGAAAGUUAAAUUUUCAUAAUAAAUGUUUUUAAAUGAUGCAUGGGAUACAAUAUUUAGUGUUAAGUGUGAUAUUAUGAAAAAAUGUAUCUACUUGAAAUGAAAAUGAAAUGAAAAUGUA